rnacentral:rRNA from 1 species
GGGUGACAGGUGGUGCAUGGUUGUCGUCAGCUCGUGUCGUGAGAUGUUGGGUUAAGUCCCGCAACGAGCGCAACCCCUAUUGUUAGUUGCCAUCAUUCAGUUGGGCACUCUAGCGAGACUGCCGGUAAUAAACCGGAGGAAGGUGGGGAUGACGUCAAAUCAUCAUGCCCCUUAUGACCUGGGCUACACACGUGCUACAAUGGUUGGUACAACGAGUUGCGAGUCGGUGACGGCGAGCUAAUCUCUUAAAGCCAAUCUCAGUUCGGAUUGUAGGCUGCAACUCGCCUACAUGAAGUCGGAAUCGCUAGUAAUCGCGGAUCAGCACGCCGCGGUGAAUACGUUCCCGGGCCUUGU